rnacentral:rRNA from 1 species
CAGCAGCCGCGGUAAUACGUAGGGGGCAAGCGUUGUCCGGAAUCAUUGGGCGUAAAGCGCGCGUAGGCGGCCCGGUAAGUCCGCUGUAAAAGUCAGGGGCUCAACCCUUGAACGCCGGUGGAUACUGCCGGGCUAGAGUCCGGAAGAGGCGAGUGGAAUUCCUGGUGUAGCGGUGGAAUGCGCAGAUAUCAGGAGGAACACCAAUAGCGAAGGCAGCUCGCUGGGACGGUACUGACGCUGAGGCGCGAAAGCGUGGGGAGCGAACAGGAUUAGAUACCCUGGUAGUCCACGCCGUAAACGAUGGGCACUAGGUGUGGGAGGUGUCGACUCCUUCCGUGCCGUCGCUAACACACUAAGUGCCCCGCCUGGGGAGUACGGCCGCAAGGCUAAAACUCAAAGGAAUUGACGG